rnacentral:rRNA from 1 species
CCUACGGGAGGCAGCAGUGGGGAAUAUUGCACAAUGGGCGAAACCCUGAUGCAGCGACGCCGCGUGAGUGAAGAAGUAACUCGUUACGUAAAGCUCUAUCAGCAGGGAAGCAAAUGACGGUACCUGAGUAAGAAGCCCCGGGCAACUACGUGCCAGCAGCCGCGGGAAUACGUCGGGCGCACGCGUUAUCCGGAUUUACUGGGUGUAAAGGGAGCGUAGGUGGCAGUGCAAGUCUGGAGUGAAAGGCGGGGGGUCAACCCCCGGACUGCUGUGGAAACUGGACGGCUGGAGUGCAGGAGAGGUAAGUGGAAUUCCUAGUGUAGCGGUGAAAUGCGUAGAUAUUGGGAAGAACACCAAUGGCGAAGGCAGCAUACUGGACUGUAACUGACGUUGAGGCACGAAAGCGUGGGUAGCGAACAGGAUUAGAUACCCUAGUAGUC